UACAGAGGUCCCAAGCGUUGUUCGGAUUCACUGGGCGUAAAGGGUGCGUAGGUGGCCAGGUAAGUUUGAUGUGAAAGCUCGGAGCUUAACUCCGAAAUGGCAUUGAAUACUAUCUGGCUUGAGGGUCGGAGGGGAGACUGGAAUUCUCGGUGUAGCAGUGAAAUGCGUAGAUAUCGAGAGGAACACCAGUGGCGAAGGCGGUUCUCUGGGCAUGUUCUGACGCUGAGGAGCGAAAGUGUGGGGAGCGAACAGG
rnacentral:rRNA from 1 species